GCUAGUCAUUUGCUUCUUGUCUAUCUUAUAUUUAACUAAAAUGACUUGCUACUCUAUUUGAGUUCAAUCCCUCAUGUACCAACACAUAACACAAUGAAGUUCAAACAAAUUAAAAAUAUCUUGCCUUAUUUUAGUUAUGUAGUGAGUUCUUAUCAAACAACCUAGUUAUAAAUACCUUAUACUUAUCAAUAGAUGAGUAAAGGGGCUCUAUAAUGAAUGACUCGAGGUACACCAUUCACUAAAGGUUUGAAACUCCACAAUUAAAUAUUUUGCUCAAGGUAUAUCUCAUUGGUAAAAUAUUUGAUUACUUUAUGUUUUGUUCAAUUAGUUGUGACUAAUAACAUAAUAGUAGUUAACAUGUUUUGUGAUUACUCUAUUUUGUAGGUUGCAAGGGCAAUAGUUUUCUCUAAGGACAUUAGUACUCCAACUAUUGGUGUUGGGACUCUUAAUUUGGGAUCCUUCAAACCAUUGAUUGUCAUUGAUGGCAACUCUUUUUGGAGAUUCGAUCCAGCAGUGGUGAUUCAUCUUAUCCGAAAGCUGGAGUUAACCGGUAGGCAGUUAACUAGUAAAACAAGGUAUUUCAGUAAUGCUCUGAUCCAAAAUGAUUUCCUGAUGAUUGCAGUGUUUUUGGUGAUUGUUUUUGUGAUCUCGGUGAUUGGGAAGAUCCUUAGGAAGCGUGUGAUUAUAAUCUUUUGGUCUGGUGCUAUGUUUUGUUCAAGAUUGAAGCCAACUUGGAGCUACAUGUUACAUUUCUUGAAGUCGACUUGAAGGAAAUUGCUUUUGUGUUGAGACCGAAUAUAUAAGAUCGAUUUGGCGAUUGAUUUUCGGUAUGUUAGAGUUAUGGUGAUCCGUUUUGGUGCGAUUGAGCACAGUUUCACGUGCGCACUUUGCUUUCAGAUCAAAGUAUUCAAUAGAGCGAAGACAAUUAGAGAAUCAAUGCUUAAUCAAAAUUCAUUCUUGCAUAGUCAGAUGUUAAUUAAGAGUUCAUUUCAUUGUAUUUUCUCAUUAUAAUCAAAUUGUAAGUCAAUGAGACUUCCCUGAAGGUUGUAGCCUUCUGGGCAAUUGUAAUUGAUUAGUGAGCUCUAGGCAGUGAGCCUGAAUGCAAGUGCAUUCUCCAUCUAUGUAAUAUUUAUGUACUCCUGGCCAUAGUAUAUGAAUAUUGUGGGUUCCAACCCCACCGUGGUUUUUCCCU